rnacentral:lncRNA from 1 species
UCUCUCAGAUGGUAUAUAAGCUUCGACUGCCAGACUCAUCCCUGAGUUCAUAUUCUUAUAGAGCCCCCACACAACAUAAUUAAAUUUGAUUUUUCUCCUGUUAACCUGUCUCAUGUCAAUUGAAUUCUGGGACCAGCCAGAAGAUCCUAGAAGAGCAGAGGGGUUUUUUCCUCCCCCACAGCAAGCACUUUGAAAAUGGGAUGGACAGUAAAAUAAAAGAGAGGAAGCACUAGAGCAAUAGAAUACUUUUCCCAAGACCAUGGAAAGGCUUUGGUGCUUCUCACGAAGUACACCUACAAUACAGAAAAAAGGUAAUGGGGAGAGUUACUCAAAGGUAAGGAGGAGACACCAAGGCUAUGACAACUUGCCAAAGUCACCAAUUCACUCCUUGAACUAAAACCUAGCCAGCAAGGGAAAGAACAGUGAGCAGGAAGACCCCAGGGAUUGACAUGCAAAUAAGCACUCUAGGCAACUCACACUGAAUUCUGCACUGGGAGGAAUGCUUAGGGUGCUCAUUUGCAUGUUGGUUACCAGAGGUUUCUUUCAAUUCACAGCCAUUUUAAAACACUCCCUGUCAGAGCCUGGGAACAACUAAAGGGACUGAACAAAGGUGAACUAGCAAAGAGUUCUCUGCCAUAACCCACAGGAGACAAUGUGCCUUCUCUUGGGCACCAAAAUAUUCUUUUUACAUGUUUAUCACACGAACAGCGCAGAGCCUACGACUACUGUGCGUAUUUCUUGUUAAAGAAAAGAUCUCUGACCAGGUUGACCUGGUUUCUGCCUUAAUCUCUAGAUUCUGAUGUUAUGGAACCUCCAACGGAGUUCCUCUUCUCAGCGAGAGUAAUAUCUCACUCUUCUGUUCCUGUAUCUGCUUCCUAUUUAUAAAGGGUGCACUUGGAGGAAGGCAAUGAAUGUUUCUUUCUUUAAUCUACAGCAAUAUUUACUGCUUCGGGGGAGUUCAGGUCUUGUCCUUUGGCAAGCUCACAGCUCUCAACUGAAACAGGCAAAGCAAACGCAUUUUCUCUCCUUCAUGUGAAAAAGGCUGUGGUUAACAGGACUCUGUUGCUGACAAGUGUAGCCAUUUUAAUUGUUUUAAAACAGAUAAACAAAUAAAAAUCAACAAAAAAAGAUAAUCUUAAAGUCAGGAGUCCACUCUAGAAAUUGCUUUCUUACGGUGUCUGUGCAAUCAGUACAAUUCGGCUUCCAUCGUCGUUGUUUUUUAGGUGCCUAUGAAGUACUAGUUGUGGUUCAGAGUGUCUAUCUCUGUCCUUGAGUCACCAACAUUUACCAGAAAAAAGAUACAAAGCAGUCUCUACAAUAAUGUACAUCCAACUCUUUCUAAAUCUCAUAAGUGGAUAUAAUAUUCUCCUUAAGGAUAGAGUACCAGGAGGGCUGUAGGUUGUAUGAUGGUGAAUAGAGAUCCGAUUCAGGAUAAUGUGCUUAUAAAUAGGAUGGAACAGAGGCAAUGAUAAUACCUCUUUUCUUUGGACUAAGAGAAUUCUUUAUAAUGAUGGCCAGAUGUUGGCAAUGAAUACAAAUAUACUAGGAGAGCCCCCGAUUGUUUCUGUCUCUUGUGUAUGUACAAGGCUAGUUCUUCCAAAAUGUGGUUGUGAGUGUGGAAUAAUUAUUUUAGAUAUGCUGGUGUGGUGUAUGUCGUCAGUCUCAGUCACAAAGCUCAUUUCAACCUGGAUCUAUUACCAACUAUACUCAUAGACGCCUCUGCAGUUAAUUCCAGCCACUUUUCCUAGUGACGCUCAAAAGGCAACAACGGUGUGGUCUCUCAACCUCACCAUCAAGGACUGUGCAGAGAAAAAUACAUAAAAGUGGUUCAGUAGAUCAGAUGGUGAUGAUUUUUUGUGCACAAUAAACUGCAAAUAGUACCCUCCCGAGGGAAUGCUUCCCUGUGUAUCUAUUGCUUUUAAUCUCACCUAACUUCUUUUAGUAUACUAGCUCUGCAUCAUACAGGAGCAAUGCAAACAUUUUUUUUUUUAGCAUGCAAACAGCAGUAAAUCACAUCUUUCACUUCUGUAGCUCAAUGCAAAUAUUUAACAUUUAUCUCAUGUUUCUUAUUAUCUAAGCACCUUACAUUACACUAGAGAAAGAUUUUAUUUUACUCAUUAAUGAGAAUCAAGAUACAAAGAAAAAAAUAACUUUGACUGUGCAUAAGGUCUUGACUCAGUUGAAGUCUAAAUUCAGAAUUUCUAAAGCACAUUCUUCUCAUAAAUGUAGGUGUAGCCUGUAGAACUCUCGGCCAGGGAAAGCCAUAGAAUGAGUACAGCCUACAUAGUGGAAAUGUGUACCUUGUAAAUGUCUUAUCAUUAUCUUUUCCCAGAAAUUAUUUGCUUCUAUAUUCUUCACAAAAUGGCCUGAAUAGAAUAACUAAUGGCAUAAUUACUUCAGAUCUUUGAAAUAGUUGAAGAGAAUCUGAUGAAUGGAUUAAAAAUUCUGUCCUUUUCAUGAGUAUAUUACUGUAAUUUGGUUAUAUGUGGAGUUUUUGUUGAGCACUAUUAAUCAUUCUUAAAUGCUAAGACAGAAAAUUUAGAUAGUUUUUUAAAGCUAUCCCUUAAUGUUUGCCAGGCCAUAAAAACUACUAAAAUAUCAGACUUUAAAACAAAAUUGACAGUAAUUAGAAUAAGUAUGUAUUUAGAUUAAAAAAAACAACCAAAUUUCCAUAAAGCUAGUAUUUUAAAAUACUUUACUAAAUAUCCACAUACUGAGUUAUUUGAAAUUAUAUGUCUUGCAGAGUUCCCAUUGUAGUGCGAUGGAAACAAAUCCAACUAGUAUCCAUGAGGGUGUGGGUUCAAUCCCUGGCCUCGGUCAGUGGGUUAAGGAUCUGGUGUUGCUGUGAGCUGUGAUGUAGGUCACAGAUAUGGCUGGGAUCCUGAGUUGCUCUGGCUGUGGUGUAGGCUGGUGCUAUAGCUCCCAUUCGACCCCUAGCCUGGAAACUUCCAUAUGCCUCGGCUGAGGCCCUAAAAAAAAAGAAAAAGAAAUUAUAUGUCUUGGAGGCCAGUUGUUUAUCUAAGAUAAAAUCCUAUUCUAAGAUGCUAACCAUUUAAUUUUAGUAUCAAAUCAAAUCCUUUUUUAAGGCCAAGUCCUGUCCAAAGCCACUGUGAUUUCAAACUCGAGAGAGAAAUCAAUCCCAAUCAAAACCUGCACUGUUCUACAAAAUCUUAUCUUGUAGAAAAUACAUAUUAAGUUUUACAGGUUGAUCAGAAAGUGAUGUGUUUAUGAAAGACGUGGUAUAAACACCCAACAAAAAGAAACAAAAAGAUGGGGUUUACUAUCACAUAUCGUAUAAGUGGCUUUUUAUUUUCUGAUUCAAAAAUUUAGACACGUUUAAGUUCAACUUUGACUAAAACAACAUAAUGAUCUUCUCUGCUUUUAUUUUGGGUCCCCCUCAUUGCCAAUCUUUCUAGAUGUAACAAGAAAUAGGAUUUUACAGACAAAUCAUGAAAUUACAGGGCAACAGAAGAAAUAAGAUGGUUGUGAAGCCCAGCGAAAGGAUCAGAGUUGAACAGCACGAAGCAACUGAGUAAGGAGAGAAAGAAAGAGAAUUGAACAAAAGGACAUGUAUUAAUCAGAGCACAUUUAGAAAUGUGAAUUUACUAGUCUAAAUAAAGAAGGGUCUCAUGGGUUCCAGAAAAUGAAAUCCAACCUCACGCAGGGCUGGAAGUUGGAAUGGACACUGAGGACCAAGAAUGCUCUGCAUCUCUCAGAACCCCAGGGCUUCCCUCCACUCAGCCUUUCUGCCCCGGCCUCUAGCUUCUCUUCAAAACUAUUGUUUCUUUCCUGUUAUCAUUGAUAGGCAGGAGGUUCUGGUCCUCCAUGGUACAGAUUCUCACCUAGCUCUAUAAAGAGUAUCUCAAUAUGCAAUGGUGCCUCCAUUCUGACUGACCCAGCUCCCAAGCCUCCACCCUUUUCAGUCCACUCUGGUCAAGGGGCAGAAUCAAAUGGUAAUAAGGGUGCUCCUUCUUUUUUAUUCCUAUUUAUUUAUUUAUUUAUUUGUGUCUUUUUAGGGCUGCACCCACUGCAUAUAGAGGUUGAAUCGGAGCUGUAGCCACUGGCCUACACUACACACCACAGCCACAGCUAUGCAGGAUCUGAGCCACGUCUGCAACCUACACCACAGCUCAUGGCAACACCAGAUCCUUAACCCACUGAGUGAGGCCAGGGAUCAAACCUGUGUCCGCAUGGAACUAGUCGGAUUCGUUUCCGCUGAGCCACGAUGGGAACUCCAAGGAUGUCCCUUCUUGAUUACAACCCCUGAGCAUUUAUAUGGAAACAUGCAUUUGUUUGUCAGGCCUUAAUUGCUGUGUUGGAAAGCUGAAUUUGAGACCAGGCAGGGAAAAGUGAAGACGAGGAGACUGAUGUUACAAAGUAAUGAAAUACAUUUCUGCAAAAAAUAAAAGAUGGGAGUCUUUGGAGAAUGGCCACAGUGAUAUAGAACAGAACAUUAUCCACAGCUUUGCCUUUCACCUAUUACAGAAAUGGAAAAGAAGGCCAACGAUCAUGCCUUGAAAACUGUAAUCCCAAUAUGCUAUUUUAAAGAAAUUACUAUUUACAAAACGCCACAAUAAAAUAAAUAAUAGUAUUUCUAUUUCUAAAUGAUUAAAUAUGGGUCAGAAAGAAGGCAUUCAUAAUGAAUAUUCAUAGAUCACAAACCAAUCUGUUGUUAGGUAUAAAAACAGAACUCAGAGUCUGAGUCUCUAAUCUCUUCCAGGUUACUAUAUUUAAUGUACUUCUGAAAAUGAGUCAAUCUCUCCCACAUUUGUGAUACAGAAUUCCUUAAAUGUAAAAAGAAAUAGAGCUCUUCCUAAAUAACAAAAUUAGUAAACCUUGAGAGUUUAAAACACCUUUAUUUAGUAUAUUACGUAUAUAUUUACCAAACCAAGAGUACCUUUAUGUCUUUGUUUCACCCAGCCUUCACUCAGUGCUCAAACUGUUGACAAUUCUUCAUCCUAAUAGUUUCAAUAGUUUUCAAUGUGCUUUAAGCACGAAGAAAUUAAUAGGCAGAGGAGUUCCCGUUGUGGCUCAGCAGGUUAAGGACCUGAUGUUGUCUCUAUAAGGAUGUGGGUUUUAUCCCUGGCCUCGCUCAGUGGGUUACGGAUCUGGUGUUGCCAUAAACUGUGGCACAGAUCACAGAUGCUACUCAGAUCCAGUGUUGCAUGGCUCUGGCGCAAACCUGGGAACCCCUGGCCUGAGAACUUCCAA